UUUUGUACGCUGGCUUUUGAAGCUUGGGGUUGUGGCAGAUUUUCUUUUGUGUGACCGAUUUCUUUUUGAGCCGGUAGUGCUACCCCAAUAAGAGGGGGAUAUGUGAAUUGGUCACUAAUUUAUGAUUUCCCAUACUUUUGGAUCUAUUUGGAGUUUGGAAUGGGAAUCUUCCUCAACGAGGGAUUUUGAAAAGAAUUGUCAUUGCCCCAUAUUUCCAGAAAACCCUCGAAUCGAGUAUUGUACGUAUUGUUGCUCCGUUUCCCGCAAACCUUCCACGUGGUUUCUUCUUUCACCGGAAUACCAGACCAGACUUGGUGUCUUGCAGUGUAUGCUGUCUCUUGGGUACAUGUUUAGUUGUGGAGUUUCCCCUAUCGAGCAGCCGGCUUUCCGGACGGACUUUGCUGGGUUAACUGAGACUGCCCACCUGCGGCUGUCUCAUUGAGCCACCAUUCCAUCUUGGCUUGGUUCCCGGGAUAGUGACAGACAGCUGUGUAACGUUCGGGACAUCUUGAGGUUUGGGUAGCUUAAGUGGCCUGUUCUCUUCAAGAACGGUUUGCGGAACUUAUAGCCUUAAAUUAUAGUGUCUUACAUUCUUUUGCACCGCCAAAACUUGAAGGUGAGAUUUGACACUCACACCUACCACCAGGUUGAAGGAAAUAAAUUAUUGUUCGUGAU